rnacentral:rRNA from 1 species
AGCAGCCGCGGUAAUUCCAGCUCCAAUAGCGUAUAUUAAAGUUGUUGCAGUUAAAAAGCUCGUAGUUGAAUUUCGGGGUUAGUAGGUUGGUCAUGCCUCUGGUAUGUACUGGUCUCACUGAUUCCUCCUUCCUGAUGAGCCGUAAUGCCAUUAAUUUGGUGUUGCGGGGAAUUUGGACUGUUACUUUGAAAAAUUAGAGUGUUUAAAGCAAGCUAACGCUUGAAUACAUUAGCAUGGAAUAAUGAAAUAGGACGUUCGAUCCUACUUUGUUGGUUUCUAGGAUUGACGUAAUGAUUAAUAGGGAUAGUUGGGGGCAUUAGUAUUCAAUUGUCAGAGGUGAAAUUCUUGGAUUUAUUGAAGACUAACUACUGCGAAAGCAUUUGCCAAGGAUGUUUUCAUUAAUCAAGAACGAAAGUUAGGGGAUCGAAGACGAUCAGAUACCGUCGUAGUCUUAACCAUAAACUAUGCCGACUAGGGAUCGGAUGAUGUUAAUUUUUAAUGACUCAUUCGGCNCCUUAAC